rnacentral:rRNA from 1 species
CCCCAGCGCCACGAGUCGCAGCCACUAUUAUUUGGCCUAAAGCGUUCGUAGCCGGUCUGUUACAUCUCCUGUGAAAUUGUCGAGCUUAACUCUACAAAUGGCAGGAGACACCUGCAGACUAGGGACCGGAAGGGGUCAGAGGUAUGCUCGGGGGAGCGGUAAAAUGCUAUAAUCCCGAGUGGACCACCUGUGGCGUAGGCGUCUGACCAGGACGGAUCCGACGGUGAGGAACGAAAGCCAGGGGAGCAAUCCG